AUUGAACGCUGGCGGUAGGCCUAACACAUGCAAGUCGAACGGCAGCACAGUAAGAGCUUGCUCUUACGGGUGGCGAGUGGCGGACGGGUGAGGAAUACAUCGGAAUCUACUUUUUCGUGGGUGAUAACGUAGGGAAACUUACGCUAAUACCGCAUACGACCUACGGGUGAAAGCAUGGGAUCUUCGGACCUUGCGCGAUUGAAUGAGCCGAUGUCGGAUUAGCUAGUUGGCGGGGUAAAGGCCCACCAAGGCGACGAUCCGUAGCUGGUCUGAGAGGAUGAUCAGCCACACUGGAACUGAGACACGGUCCAGACUCCUACGGGAGGCAGCAGUGGGGAAUAUUGGACAAUGGGCGCAAGCCUGAUCCAGCCAUACCGCGUGGGUGAAGAAGGCCUUCGGGUUGUAAAGCCCUUUUGUUGGGAAAGAAAAGCAGCAGGUUAAUACCCCGCUGUUCUGACGGUACCCAAAGAAUAAGCACCGGCUAACUUCGUG
rnacentral:rRNA from 1 species